AGGUCAAUUCUUUAACUAAUCCGCAUGCCGGGUUUCCGGGGUGGGCAAGUGUUUUGGGGUUCGUCAGUUAAUAAUUUGUUGUCCUGAUAAUUAGUAAUGUGUUGCUAGUUUCAGUUUGCUGUAUCUUAUUGCCUUGCUCCGCAACUCGGGAGAAAUGUCACGACAACCAGCUUUCUUGGGUUUUGCUAAUGAUAAUUAAUUGUUCUAGUAAUCCGAUUAAAGUACUUUUUAAGCAAUUUGGGGCACUGCAAGGUGCUUAAGAAAGCUUCAAAUCCGGUUUGUACUUUGCAUGCGUAUGAAGUAGCAGUAGCUAUUAAGAGAAAGAAAGUGGGAAUAAAGGAUAAUCCUAGCAAAUCUGGCCCAAGAUAUGCUAUCUCACAAGUCAAUAACCUACAACUCUAUGACUGCCAGGGAUAAUGAUCAACUCUAAUUAGUCUCCUAGAACUACUGUGGCAAUCCCUAAUGCGAAGAUAAAUCUGUUUCAUAACUUCACCCAAGCUUGCCGUGCUCUUCUUAUGCACUGAAUCUAUGUACUUACUUGAUCCUUUACAAAGGUUUGCACCUCUGACAAUUUUGAAUUUCUUGGCAAUAGGAUGCAAAGGAUUUUUGCUGAUGUAGUUCAUAGUCCUUUACGUUACAAGACUCAGACGCAAAAUUUAUUCUACUUUUUCAUUUCGCAUUAGAAAAUGGAGUAGUUAUCAAUUAUCAUCACGACCGGAUCUUUUAGAAUUCCCAACCAACUCUUCAAUUUUGCUUGAAGGUUGUGAUGUGGGCAGAGGAAUGUGGUAAAUUUGAACUGCACAUGUUAGGUGCUGGAAGAAAUCAGAUCACUUCCUGGCCCCUCUUAAGGGGAUGAAAGGUCGUUUAAAGUAGACAAGAGAUUGUUUUGGUUAGUGCCUUGAGUGUGCAACUAUCCCAUUCAUCCUCUAAGCUUUCAUAGACACUGCUGCUAAACACUUUCCAAGAUUCUCUGUUAACUUUGAGCUCAUAAGCCAGAUAUAAUGCAUUGUCAUUGAUAUAAGUAGCUGAGUGUCAUGCUUGUAAAGGAUUUGCAAGAAGUAGUCUCCGAUGCGUAUUAGCAUUGCAUCACCAAAAAUUAUCAGGGAUAUAUGAGAUGAGAAAAAUUUCCACUUUACUUUCUUGGGUUCAAGAUUUGCAGCUGCAUCCUUCCUUAACACAGCAUGAACAUGAAUAAAAUAUUCCUUCCGUCCUCUUUAGUGAAGCCAUCUGCAUCUGUCAUGUCCUCUACAGUUACUUGGAGACAUCUCGGAUGAAUUGAAAACAGCACCUAAAAAUGAGCAAUUUUGGUUUUGGUUGUUGAAUUUGUCCACAAACAAACUAAAAAGGUUGCAGCAUGAGUUGAAUACUCGGUACAAGUAAAAAGCAUCCGAAGAUUUGUGGUUGCAUAUGACUUUGCUGUGAGUUUUGCUAAUUUUAAGGUGUGUUGCAAUGAAGGGGCAGACAUGGCGUCUUUAGCGACAGCUGAAGCUUGUGAUACAAAUGCAGCACUUCUGGCUAGUGGUGACCUGCGGGUACUGCAACCCGUUUUCCAGAUUUAUGGUCAGUGUCGAGCAUUCUCAGGGACCAUAGUCACUCUUAAGGUCUUUGAGGACAACGUGCUGGUUAGGGAGACUCUUGAAACUAGAGGCGAAGGCAGAGUACUUGUAAUAGAUGGUGGAGGAAGCAUGAGGUGCGCCUUGGUAGGAGGAAACUUGGGACAGCUAGCCCAAAAUAUGGGUUGGGCUGGAAUUGUAGUCAAUGGGUGCAUUCGAGACGUGGAUGAGAUAAAUUCCUGCGAUGUUGGAAUUAGAGCCUUGGCAUCCCACCCCCAGAAAUCUAACAAAAAGGGUAUUGGUGAAAAGCACAUCCCAGUUGUUGUUGCAGGAACCUUGAUCCGCAAUGGGGAAUGGCUGUAUGCAGAUAGUGACGGCAUCCUUGUAUCAAAAACUGAGCUUUCGGUUUGACCGAAGCCUGUGGCGCUGGAAUCAGUUGCUAAGGAAGAUUUUGAUUCAUGAAAUGUAAUAAGAGCAUUUGUACCAUGAACAUUGACAUUAUUGAAUUGAUGAUGAAUUAUUUGACAAGUUCAGCUUAUUAGUGGUGUAUCUCAAAAGUUACACUUUAGAUUUCUGUGAGAGCAAAGGUCUGCACGAAUUUCCAUUGCAACUUCCCACAUCAUAGCCUCUGUUCAAAAUUUUGUUUUCCGAAAAUAGUUUUUGAGUUCGAGCUCGACUCAUUUCUAAAACAACUCAUUCGAGCUUGAAUUCGAUCUAAAUUUUUAUCUAGUCGAGUUGAGUACUUCCGAAGAUAAUUUUGGAGUUAAAGCUCAAUUUCUAAAACAAGCUAUUCAAGUUUGAAUUCGAUCUAAAUUUUUAUUGAGCCAGAGCUGAGUACCAAGCCACUCUAAGUAGCUCUGUUGACUUGCACCCGUUGAGCCUUUUUCAUAGAGCAGCAGGUAAUAAAAAACACGCUUUCAGCAGUUACUCGGAGAUAAGAGGCACGAAGCAUAUGCUGUAGUAAGUGGUUUCUUUUGGCUUAAACCCUUGUAAACGUUAACUGUACGGAUUGGGUACUCAAGAUCACCACUAGCCCAAAAAGUUUAAAAAAAAAAAUUAAAAUCAAUGAAGGGCGGCAACAAGGUUGCAGCGGGCGGCGGCCGUUCACUGGAGGGGCUACCGGACACCCUAAUCACUGAAAUUCUGGAAAAGUUAGACUUGGAAUCGCUUUGCUCCACGGCGUGUGCUUCCAGGGCCUUCCGCUCCUCUGUCGCUCAACAUCUUUCCACUCUUCCCUCGCUUGAUCUUUCUGUUAAGUCGACUUCACUGCCCAAAUUAACAAUUUUCGUCGGGAACAAAAUCUAAUUUUUGUUUUCCGAAUUGUUGAUUCUUUGUGAAACUUUAAGAAAGAUGGCUUUUGCUAACUGUUUAUGAUAGUACCCGUAAAAUUGCUUGCUAUAAUGCUGUACAGAAACCUGUAGAAAUUGGAUUUGUUCACUUCAUUUAUUAUAGCUUGAUUAGCAAAUAUAAGUGCACAUUUUUCUACCCGUAGGAUCGCAAUUUUGUUCCUUUUUUUUUCAUUUCCCUUGUUGUUGUUAUAUAUUUUCUUCUUUUUUUUUUGAGUUAUGCAAAUAUCAAUGAACCGAACAACAUGGCAGGUUUUUGCUCCGAAUGCUCAGACUCUGAAUCACAUUCUUCAUAGGUUCAGUGGUGUCAGGAGUGUCACUAUUGACUGCCUCCGCCUGGAGACCUCUUCAGUCAUAGGUAUUCUUGGAGCUAAUAUCCAAGAAUUAAAUUUGUUGAAGGGUUGCUUGCUGUCUUAUUCUCUUUUCACUUCAAUUGGGAGGAGUUGCCCUAAUUUGAGGUACUACUUUUCGUUUUUUCCUAGAUUACCUAACAGAUUUUUCUUUCAUAUUAAAUGGAGCCUGAUGCAGACUAUGUCCUGAACUUUCAUAGCUGUAGAGAAAACUUGCUUUAGGAUUAUGGUUCAAAAAAAGCAGCUGUCAGAAUUGCCUGUGUAAAUGGAUACUUUAGUGAUAACUGAUAAGCAAGUGAGUGCGCCACUUUUUUUUGUUUUUUUUUUCGUCCCUGCUAUACAUGCAUCUCGCUGUUAUAUUUUUACCAUAGUGGUUUUAAGACUCCAUUGUAAUUAAUUUUCAUCAUUUUUGGGCCAUAAUAUGUUUAUGCUUUUCAAUUGAAAGACCGCCAACGUUAAGUCAGUUCUAAACUCGAUCAUAUUGUCGAUCACAAAGCUAGUUCAUUUGUUGAAGAGUUCCCUGGAUGUAUCUGAGAAAUUUGGGGUGGUACAAGCAAUGCUGCUGAAUGGACAUGCUAAAUGCUACAUGAACUUGUCUGCAAUGAAUUGUCCCUCUAGAAGCUUUUUAAUUUGUAUACUUACUUUGUGCUCUUUCUGAUAUUACAUCAGGGUUCUCGCGCUGGAAUUAGUUGGGGAACAGUUACCUGAACUCUUCGAGAAAAAUCUUGUUGAGAUGCUUAAAAAUCUUAUACAGUUGGAGGUAAACUGCAAUCCCUAGUCCAUUUUGUUCGUUUUAUUAUUCGUGAUCACUAAAGCAUGCUACUUAGCAAUAUUGACAUCUAGCAGAAAAGAGUUUGGUCACUGAUUUAAAAUUCUUUUUCCUACAGUCUUUAUCUCUUAAAAUACGAGAAAUAGAACAUGAUGUGUACAGUAUAAAAUCCAUUCAGCCGUUUUUGCCAAGAAGUCUCAGAUUUUUAAAGCUUCAGCAAGUGGGUGAACAGAGUGCAAUUCAAUUACUACAAGAACAUUUAAAUGUUGGUAAUUCAUUAGAAAUCACAUCCACUUUUAGCUCUAUCCCAGCUGCUCUUCUUCAUCCGCCGACUGAGCUACAGCAUUUAUCACUCGUAUUGGACAUUAUCAGUGAUGAACUUGUUAUCUGCAUCGUCAAUGCACUUCCCCUUAUAGUUGAGCUGAAUCUUGAAGACAGAACGUACAAGGAGCCACUCAUGCCUCAUGACCUGACCAAUAAUGGGAUACAGUCCUUGGGGUCUUGUCGGCGUCUAACUGCUCUCUCAAUUGUACGUAGUAGACAGAAUUAUCCUGUAUGUUUCAAACGGAUAAACGACUUGGCAAUGUUUCUUCUUUCUGAGAAUUGUAGAGGCCUGGAAUCUGUUACCUUUGGUGGAUUUUCCACAGUUACUGAUGCCGGCUUUUCAGCAAUUUUGCACUCUUGCCGAAAUUUGAAACGAUUUGAAAUUCGUAAUGCAUCUCUGCUAUCAGACUUGACCUUUCACAGUAUGGCAGGCGCUGCAGAUACCCUUGUUGAGAUGAAGAUGUUUUCAUGCAACCUUAUAACUAGUGAAGCUGUAUUGCAACUGGCAUCUUGUACUAGGUUAGAGGUGCUCGAUUUGUGUGGAUGCAGGAGCAUAGCAGAUACAUGCCUUAGCUGCUUGACAUUUUUCAAUAAACUUGCAACAUUAAACCUUAGUGGGGCUGAUGUGACUGACAAUGGUCUUGCUGUUCUUGGCGGUGGACAUUCUCCCAUUGCACGUUUACGUCUUAGGGGCUGUCGGAGAAUAACUGAUAAAGGAAUUUCUCUUCUAUUGCUGGGUAGAGGGACAAUUAGCAAGACACUUGCAUCUCUGGAUGUUGGUUACAUGCCAGGAAUAUCGGAUGAAGCUAUUUAUACCAUUGCUUCAUCCGCUCAAGCGGUUACUGAGUUAUGUAUGAGGUAUUGCUUCUUUGUGACAGAUGCUUCAUUAAAAGCAUUAGCUUUAAAGAGAAGGCCGCUUGAUGGAACUUCACCUCUCAAAAGGCUCGAUGUUUUUCACUGCCCUAGAUUGUCUGCUAUCGAAUUGGUGGGAUUUUUGAGGAAGCCAUCAUUCCUUAAUUUGAGGUGGCUCGGCGUUGGCCUCACUGCCGCAGCUUCCAGAAAAGAUGACUUUGCUCAAAUUUGCAAAGAACGAGCGUGGCUGACCCUUUGUUUUGAUGGUUGUGAAAUAGGAUGUCAUGAUGGAUGGCAAUUUCACAGGCCUCAUGGUGGCUGACAUCCAAUGUGCGUUCAUUUUUUGUACAUUCGCGGCCAAUGUCAAGUCUGGUUCAUGCAUAGGAACUUUAUACAAAGUUUUUCUUUUCUUUUGGCUUUUUGGUAAUAUAACCUAAAGAUUUAGCAUGUAUUAAAUAGUAGACUUUUAUGCGUUUUUUUUUCUUAAACUUCUAGUCUAAGCGGUGAAUUGCAAUCCCUUUUUAAACUAUAUGCUUCAUCAAAACUGAAGGCCAUAAUCCCGGUCAUUCUUGCACUCAAAAAAUAAUAAUAAUAAAAAAAGACUCCACUUCUGUUGGCGUUAAACUCCUGCUCAAGUGCGGAGAGACGCUCCAUUGACUCGUCAUCACGUAAAGAAAAUUUCCACACGCAUGAGAUCACAAUCCGAUAUACCCUUAUAUAAUAUAAGAAUGAGUUAUGAGUAAAGAAGGUUUAUAUAAGAAUGACUUGUGAAUAAAGGAAGUUCGAAUUUCAAUCGCAUGGAUAGAGACUUUUUAAAAAUGUGAAAUAUUAUAUAGUUUUUUUAAAACUUUUGAUACAAUUAAAAACAACAUAUAUUUAAAUAUAUUUAUUAAAAUGCCCUUAUUUUGCUACAUUUAAAACUUUGAUUUAUGAACACAUUUGAGUAUUUUUGAAAUAUGAAAUUAUUUUACAACCACUUUUGCAUUGAAUACAAUUCAUAUAAACUUAUGCGUUGAUA
rnacentral:lncRNA from 1 species